UUUAUUCUUCCAUCUAAUUAGGGUUUCUUCUUCAUAUCCAUUCUAACACCACACCACCAAUAACAUGAGGGCUAAGGUAACAACAACAUCUUCAACUCUCUCUAUCCCUUAAAAUUGUUGUUGAAAUUGAUAUAUUGUGUGAUUUCUCUAUCUUUUAAAAUUGUUGUUAAAAUUGAUAUAUUGUGUGAUUUGUUUGUUUGUUAUUUGAUUUAUACAACAGUGGAAGAAGAAGCGAAUGAGGAGAUUGAAGAGGAAGCGUCGAAAGAUGAGACAGAGAUCCAAGUAGAUUGAUCGAAAUCAAAGUUUUAUGUUUUUGUUUUUGUUUUAGAUCGGCUUAGGUAUCGGUAGAUAUAUGUAUCGGUAUCGGAGUUUUCUUUUUAGCUCGGAAACGAUUUCACCUUCGGUUGAUGAGUCGGAAUAGCUACCAAAAUAGUGGUUUUAUGUUUAUCGUAAUUUGUAUCGGAUUUUAUGGUUUUUUCGUAAUAUCGGAAGAAUCGGAUUAGUAGCUUAUGGUUAUUUGGCUUAAUGUUUGAUUUGAUUAAUUAGUUUGAUUUAGUUUUUAACUUUUUAUUAAAUAGAGAAGAUAGCAUGGCCUGAGAUUAAGAUUAGUUUCAUAAUUCCUUUAUUCAUGAUUUGCCCCUUGUAUGCGGUUUUUAUUUAAGCAAUUUUUAUCACUAGAAUUAGUCAUGCUUUCACACUAAAAACCUUCACAUGAUAGUUGCCUAUAGUUUUUAUCUGCUUGUAAAGUUGUAUGCCAUGGUCUAUUAUGGAUUGAAUGGUCUAAAAGUUUGAAGCAUGUUUCAAACUUCUGAUGUACUUAGUCCGAUAUGGUCAUGGGAAUAUAGGAAUGUUAUGGUAGUUCUUGUUGUUUCCGGCUUGCUUGUUAAAUGUUGGUUUAUUGCAUUUUGUUGUUGUUGUAGAAGACACAAUAUUGUAGUGCCUGUUUAGGCUGUAUCAUAAUGCAGGCAUACAUUAUCUGAGCCUUUCUGCAAGCCUUACUCUUUGCCAUCAUAGAGUUUGUAUUUUAUGUUUCCUGUUAGGUUUGAGGCACAUUCGCUGAUAACACCUUGAGUUGGCAUACUGCCCUACCAUGUCAAGGUUUGGAAAUAAAGAAAACCUUUAAGCAUGUUUUUGUUUCUAAAUGUUGCAUUGUACCGUUUUUGUAUAGAGGAGUAAGGAGGUGCAGUUUUUACUUCACCGAUGUGCCUAUUCUUACUCCGGGAGUACUGUUAAUUUCUAUUACUUGUGAUGCUGGCAAACAUGCCUUGUUAGUUGUUACAAUGGAUUGGAUCCAUCUGUGAUUAAAUGUGAUUUGUUAAGCUAUGGAUGGGCAGAAUUGGUUGUCAUUUGGUUUGCUAAAAUGCUAAGUACUGUACUUUAAACAGUUCCUAAGAGCAAUCCCAAUGGGAGGGCAGUUUGGUGCCCUCCACGUAGGUGUAGGUUUGGGGAUGACUCUAGUUAUUAGGUGGUAAACAUUUGUAUUUUUGCAACCCAACCAACCCAACAAAGCAGGGCCUAUAGCAACUUAGAGCAUUCCCAAUGGAGGGUGGAUAAAUCCACCUCUACGUAGGUGCCACGUAGGUCCACCUAGGCAAAAUCCACCUCAAAGAGAGAGGUGUAUUUGCACUUGGGUGGUAGUUUCCCAACGCAGAGUGGACUCUUUGGUAUAGAAAGUGGAUUUUUUUAAAAAUCCGGACGGCAUGUCACAUGUCGUCCCAUUUUUUUUUGCAAAAAAAUAGGGAGACGGCAUGUCACAUGCCGUCCGAGAGUCCAAAAUUUUAAAACACUACUUAAAACUUAAAAAAACAAACGGAUGCCGUCCGAGAGUCCAAAAAUUUUAAAACACUACUUAAAACUUAAAAAAACAAACGGACGGCAUGUAAGGAUUUAUCCACCUUCAAAUCCACCUUCAAAUCCACCUUCAAAUCCACCUUCAAAUCCACCUGUGGGCAGCCCACCUCCGAAAUCCACCUCCCCUUGGGAAGCUCUUUUUGUCUACAAGGUGGAUUUAUCCACCCCACCUCCAAAAUCCACCUUGCAUUGGGAAUGCUCUUAUGUGUUUCAUUUUGAUGAAUAGGUCUAAUAACAGUUGGGUUUUUAUACUUUUUAUGUUUCUCUAGCCAGUCUUAUUCGCAGUCUUAAGUGGCCAUUGUCUUGUGUGCCAGAGUAGCACACUGCGUGAAUAACCUUGAGAUGAUAGUGGGAGCAUAUGCACUGGGGUACAACAGUAAAUCUUUUUAUUUGAAUGCACAAUGUAGCUUAGGACACAAUCAACUCACUUUAUGUCUCUAUCCAUAGUCGUGCAAUUGUGUAUACGGAAUAAUUCUAUGCUUACAAACUUUUUUCACAAACUACCUCCACAAACUGAUGGGGAUUCAACCGAUAAAUAAAUCAGAAUUUUCUUAUGUACUCUUUUUUAGUUCUUUCCAUGAAACCGAAACUCUUUUGCAAGCAUCUCUCUUCUCUCUUUUUUUUUUUUUUUUUUUUUGUUAUUUUUUUAAUUAUAAUUAAUAAACUCAACGAAUUACACAAAAGUAGAGGACAAACGCGCUACAAACUGCGCGGAAAGUCCAUUCUGGAUAGCAAACUCGAUUCUCCUAAAUACAUAUUCGUUCAAACCUGCAGUCAUCACGUUACUUUUUUUUUGUGUGGAGUUAUUUUAUUUCUCACUAGUCCAGAAUUUGAAAAUAAAUAUCUUAUUAAUCCCAUAAUCAAUUUUAUACGAUAUUAUUAAAUCUUUCAUUGGUAUAAUAAAGGAAGAAGAUGAUUUUAUCUCGAAAACUUGUGAUAAAAGGAAAGAACAAUGGGUGCUUAGGGGUAAUUUACCUCUUUAAUUAUUUCAUUAACUCUACCCUAACUGGUGCUUAGGGGUAAUUUAUAAAUCUCACUAAUAAAUUUUUUUUAUUCUUCACACAAUUAGGAAAAUCCUUUUGAUUUUGAUUCAUUCCUAAAACAAUAUUCAUAUUAACAACCAAUUUUUUUUUUCAAUUUCCUCUAGUUUUACUACUAUUUAUAUCUAAAAUUUUAAAAAUAUUGACAAUGAUUAUUCAAUUAUUCAUUAAAAUAAAAAAUUGACAGAAGAUUGAUCAUGUUUAUUUUGCAAGAGUUCCCAUUCCUGAUGCACAAUGAUUUUCGAGUCUAUACUGUUAUAAUCUUAUGAGUUCCUUAUAUAGUGGGGAAAAAAAAAGAAUGAGACAGAGUAAGAAUCAAAACAUAACUUGUUAGAUAUUUUGUAUAUUCUUUAUUUUCUUAUUUGUAGGUGGAUAUACAAAUUUGUAAAGAUAUUAAUUAAUUAUUGAUAACAACUGUAUUUAUAUAUGUAUGGUUAUUGAGGAUAAUUAAGUAAACUUUGAAAAUAAUCAUUGGCAAGAUCAAUUUUGCUCUUGGCAAAAUCUGGAACCUUAAUAUUAGACAAACUACUAAACAAAAGAUUUUUGAAAAUUUGAAGAAGAGAAUGCAUGUAAUAUAUAUUAGAAUUUACAGUUUUAGUUUGCUAUAAUUUGAGUAAGAGUGAAAGCUUGGGUGAGAGAGAGAGAGGGAAAAAAAGUGUGUUUUUUUUUUUUGUGAUGAGAUCUGACGCAAAAUUUUUAAUUACGUGGACAAACCACCUCAGUUGACACGUUUGUUUGUAGAAGAAGUUCGUGGGGUUUCUUAGUGAGAGCAUUCCCAAUGGUAAAAGGCUUUUAGGGGUGCCACAUAAGAGAGAGGGAGAAGGUUUUUAGGAUAGACUUGAUAUUAAAAGUAAUUUAUGGUUUUAGAGUUGCCAAUGGUUGAGUGUUAAAAGCUUAAAAUUUCACUUUCCCAAAGACAUGAUGGCUGUGCUUGUUUCCCCGGAAGUUAUGGGGAAACGAAAACGGAAAGAUUUUAAAUUUUAAGAAAGGUAACAAAUUUUCAAAACUUUCCAUUUAUAACCAGGAUUGUUGCUUGAUUACCAGAUCAAUAAAAAAGGAAAAAAAAGACGUGGCGAGAUUAUAAGCUUUGGGGACCGGUGGGGACCAUAAAUUAGAGACGUGAUUUUCUGUUUUGCAUAGAUUUCCUGGUUUAUCAAAACUGCAAUUUUUGCUGACGUGUUUUACAUUUUAAAAACCUUUUUACAGUGGGACCCAUAUCAACUGAAAUCACCAAGCACCUGGAAAAACAAAAAAUCAGCAAAUCGCUGACGUGGUUUUCCAUUCCAGUUUUUUUCCUAGAGAACAAGCACGGCCGAUGUAUAAAAUUUAACUUUGAAUUAACUAACUAAUCCUAUGUGGCACUUUUAACUCUCGGCAAAUUUGCCAAGGAGUUAAAAGUAUUUUGUUUGAAAAAUGUGUUAAUAUCAACCAUUGGCAAAAGUUUUUUACUAAAAGUUCUUAAAAGGAAUUUAAAACCUACCGUUGGGAAUGCUCUGAGUGUAGAAUUACUCAAUAUUGAGCGAGUAUGCAAGGAUAACACGUGUUGUUUUUGAAAGUCACAGUGGAUUGUUUGAUGCUUAGAUAUCUCUUUUUCGACACCUUAAAUACUCAAGUUGAUUAUUAGAUAUCUCAUUGUUUUGGAAUUCAUCAGUGGUCCUACCUCAAGACGUUCCUUGUUGUAAUAUUGUACUUGAAAAUGAAGCCACGAAGGGAUAUACGUUGUAUAUCUAUUUUCUAUAGUGACUUUGAGACAAAAUUUCCUAAACUUUUUGAAAACUAUCUUUAAUUUUAAAUGUCAGAUUAGAUGAAUGAAAAUGUGCAUAAUUGACCAACGACAUCUUUUUGGUUAUGAAUCUGAGUUUUAUUCCAUAUCAAAUUAAUGACAGGCCCAUAUACACGUCGAACAGAUUCGCAUACACUAAUUUACAUUGAUAAGGUGUCUUUUUUAUUAAAAAAUUAUUUUCUAUUCCAUCUCUUUGUAAUACAUUGAUCUUAUUGUUUAUUGUUUGGUAAUUUGUUUUUUCAGUAUUUUGAGUAUAGAGGAGUUACCUUAAUCUACUACCUUUGGAGUAGCUCGGCCCCGCUGAGGGGUUGGGCCACGUCUGCACCCUGCUAGUUCAGAUGCAAGCCUUUAUUUCAAAGGUUGUCUUUGCAUUCUUCUUUUUUGAACUGGCAGGAGUGCAGGUGUUGAAACCCGGGUUUGACUGAAUUGGAAAAUUAUCCUUCUGAAUCUUCCUGCUCCAUUUUGUCAAUCCCGGUUGAGUGGAUGUGUCUUUCAUCCACAUGGUUCUUGCAUUUGAAUUGCUUGGCCAAGCUCUUUGACAGAGCCUGAUGAUAACGAAAAAAAUGAAAAGACUUGCCUUGACUUGGAAGUAUUGCCGUGGUUGUAAUUAAGGUAUGUGCCAAAGUUUUCAUAGCCUCUUUUUGCAUUACCUUCUUUUGUUAUCAGUUUUGGUUUUAAUCGCAAGCAUGUUGAUGGAUUUGAUGCUAUUCAUUUUCAGUGACUAGGUACUGCUUAGUCUCUCUGACGCUGCACAUGGACAUUAUACAACUAAUGGAGAUUCGUGCACUUUGAGCUUUGGUGCCUUGGUGGAAUACGUGUUACUACCAGAUCUUUGAGCUUUAAGAUGAAUACUUGAUUGCUAUUGGAAUUUUUGACCUAAAUACAUAUUCCAUGGAAAUUUAUGUGCUGCCUCACCUUUAUAUAUAACUUCCUAGACUCCUAGCAUAAAGAUUUGGAACCUGAAUAGAACAUUGUGUAUUUAUUUGUAUGAUCCCAUCAAUGGCAGCUACUUCAAAAUUGCAGUAUGACUUAGUUCCGUGUUUUUUUUUUCACAAUGUUUUGUUUGCCAAAUUGUUGUCGCAAAUGACAGAACUACUUAAAAGUCGUUGCAAGGUGUCAUUUUGAUUUGAUUAUUUAUUGUUUUUUACAUGGAAAUGGUAGUGGGUUCUUCUGCAGAGUUUGUUGUAGAUGGCUAUAGUAUAAAAUGUGCAGUGGAAGUAUCUGUUGUGCGUAGUGGAAACUUAAACACAACUAAUGAUGAUUGAACUAGUGUAUGAAAUAAAAUAAAACGAUAAAAUCAAACGAACAACCACACAGGACACAAGAUUUACAUGGUUCGGCAAUAUGUCUAUAUCCAUGGGGAGAAAGGAUAAUGUUUUUCUUAUAAAGAUAAGAGCUAAUUAGUGAUACCCCCCGGAAUUCAAGGCAAAAAAAGGAACCCCCCCCCCCCCCCCCCCCCCCCAACUCCAAAAAGAUUUGUGUUACCCCCCCCAAAUUAUUUUCUGGUGAAAAAUAGACUUGAACUGCCAUAAAUACCCUUAUGCCACAUCAGACUUUUAAUUUGACCUAAACCAUUGCUGACGUGGCAUAGAUAAGAUAUUAUGGGCUGGGUUUAGAUAUGGUAUAGAUAAGAUAUUAUGGGCUGGGUUUACGCACAGACCCCUGUGCGUGCAUAUUCACAUAGUACAGAUUAAGUGGACAAGGGCCAAGUGAAGCAAUGGGUUAGCUAAAAGGUGAACAAAAAUGAAGAAAGUAUGCACUAGUCGGGGAUUUCGGGCAACUCUUUUUGUUAUUAGUAUUCCAGGUAUACAGAGAACCUGAAAUUAUGGUAGGUGAGUGUGUCAGUGGUGCAUGACUCUGCUAUGUCAAAAUAGAAACCCAUAGGCACGACUGAUAAGUUCCUAAAAACAAAUACUAAAACAACCCAUAAGUAAUAAUAAGUAAAAAACACACGAUAUUUUUAAAGUAGUAAAAUCCAAUAUGGGAAACGUUCAUGGUUGUUCUCGCGAUAAAAAAUAAUUCUACUAGAUGAAAAAGAUAUACAAACUAGGGAUGAGCACGGUUUGGUCGGUUUUGACCAAAACCGAAGCCAAACAGCCUAACAGGUGUUUUGGAAUAAACACAAUCGAAAUCAAACGUGUUGUUUCCCAAAAUCGAACCGAACCGAUCAAAAUAUGUAAAAACCGAAACCGAACCGAACACGUAGUUCAGUUCGGUUAACCGAAUCAAAACCGAACACCUUUUAAGUUGGGCUGAAUUAACUUGGGCUUAAGUAUAAAGACUAACAUGGGCUGAAUUAACUUGGGCUAAAGUGCUAAACUAAAGACUAAUAUGUUUGGUUCGGUUUUAGGUGUUGAAAAUUUUCUAAAACCGCAACCAAACACCCUAACAGGUGUUUUGUAAAAUUUCAAACACCAGCCAAACACUUAAACACCUAAACACCUUCAAAAGUGUUCAGUUCGGUUGUGUUCGGUUCGGUUCUUCGGUUUUGGUCUGGUUUUGUUUAGCCUUAGUACAAACCUAUCAACUACCUGCAAUCACUGUGAAUUGACACUACUUGUUAUCUCUAACACCUUGACUUCACUAGAGUACCUUGAUGUAAGCACAAGACACUCGACUUCUUGAUGAACACACAAGAAGACUCGAAGCCGAACUAUGAAUAAGUUUACACCAGAGUUCCUUGAUGAACACACAAGGAUACUCGACUUCUUGAUGAACACAGAAGAAGACUCGAAGAUAAAUCACUAUAAAAAAAUAAAGAAAGAUGAAUUGGGGAAGGAUAAAAAAUAGAAUUACACAAGGAUCGAUUGAGGAAGAAGAUGAUCUUUGUGGAAGAGCCGACAAACAAAUUAGGGUUCUAUGGAGGCUAGGUUGGAACUCUUACUUUUCCCAUAACACCAAUGCCAUAUUUAUAAUCUAGGGUAUGUACGUACCUCCUAACAUGGUACGUACAUUCCUGAACAAACUGCAACCUAACAUAGCUUAGAAGGAUGAGAAUGAAGACAUAGGGACGACGCUUACACAUCAAGGUACUUCCUAAUAAUGUCGUCAAGGUGAGAUAAUUCCAGAUACUCCUAACCUAAUCACAAAAUGAUGUCAAACAACCGAAUGUCGGUUUCAUGAACUUGAACUCAGACUUCUACUAGUAUGUCCUAGCCUCCUAGUGAUACCUCAAUGACUGAAUACAUGUAAAAAAUAACUUUGCACUCAAGUUUUGAAGAAAGAAAGUACAUAAAGAUUGAUAUUGUAAGUACCAAACCAUGCUAGGUGGAGUAUUGAGGACACAGGAGCUAGAUAAGGAGAGCAAACUGGGAAGUACCCAAUCGGAGUUCAGAACAUUCUAGAGUAUCACGGAUAAAGCACGUGAUGUCUGGCUGUAAAGCAUUCACUGUAUAGUAUGUGAUGGAGAAUGAAACACGUAGGAGAUAAUAGAACCAUAGGAUGCAAAGGAGGAUCCAACGGUUCAAGGAAGGCGGUGAAUAUUGCUAUAAAAGGAUCACGUUAGGGUUCGCUAAAAGGUAACUGUUCAUUCUUUGCUAAAAACCUAUUCUCUAAACCUAGCCGCUUACUGACUUGAUCGUUGGAGCUUUAUCCACCGGUCAUUGUCCGGUGGUCAUUGCAGGUACUACCGUUGAAGCAGUUGAAGGACCCAGCUGAGCUCAUCAAGGAAAGUGGGCUUACAUUUGGCGCUAGAAGAAGGGCCACUUUGCUGCUUCCAGAUCUAGGGUUUUGGAGAAGAAGGUUGAAAGAAGAAAGUAGAGAGCAAUGGUAACACAAACUAGAUCGUCGACAUAUCUCGGAGGUGUAGCAGCUGGAGAUGUUCCGCAAGUUGUUCAUCCUCAAAAUCUCCAAGAUGGAGACGAAGAUACAAACAGAUUGAGAGAAGAGAACUUGAGACUGAGGGAGCAGAUAAGAAGGAUGGAAGAUAUGGAUCGUCAAAAUCUUCAGGAAGGAGAGAACGAAGCAGUCAGAAAUGAAAACCAUCAGAGACCAUUGGAGAGGGUAAUACUAGGAGAAGGUGAAGGAGGAACAAGGCGUCGGAUUCCGGGCCUAAGAGUGAAUGAAGAAGAAGGGUCAGGAGAAUCAGGGGUAAGAGCUCGCGAAGGGAGUCGAAGGGAAGGGAUGAAUGAUGAAGAGAUCCCGGCGGCAGAUCAAUACACCAGACUUUUCGAUAUGAUAUGCAAGGUCCAAGAGGACAUGAGGGCGCAGAACAAGGGAAAGAACAUGGAGGUGACUCAGGAUCUGGAGAGAUUGGGCAAGAGGCCAUUAGCCGAAGUGUGCUACCGUCACGGGUUCCCAAGUAAGUUUCAACCUCCUAAGUUUAAUGAGUAUGAUGGAACAACUGAUCCUGUGCAGCACUUGAAUAAUUUCAAGCAAAAAAUGGCGGCUUGGGAAGGGAGCCAGUAUGACGGAAUGUGGUGUCGACUGUUCCCUAGCAGCUUGAAGGAUAACGCUACAGACUGGUAUCUCAGCUUAUCACCAGGGAGUGUAUCAAGCUUUGCUCAGCUCAGUGAGAUGUUUGUCAAGCAUUAUAUUCAUCAGAAAAGACAGGCUGCAGAUAUAGCGUCACUAUUUGAUUUGGAACAAGCUCCAGGUGAGUCUCUUAGAAAGUUUGUUACUAACUUUAAAAAUGAGAUUUUGAGAACAGAUGGCGGAGUAGAUGAAAGAACAGCUGUGGUAGCAUUUCAGAAGGGUAUAAAUAAGAAGUCUCCUGCAUAUGACUCGAUUGUGUCAUCACGGAUGGCGACUCUGGAUGAACUUUUCCAGAAGACGGAGAAAUACAUCAGACUAGAGGACAUAGCAUCACGGAGAGCUCCAAAAGUGGUACCGGCAUCCGUUAACUCGGUGGCGGAAAAAAGUAAAAAAGGGAGAAGCUAGCUCACGAAGUGAUUCGCCACCAAGAGAUUCCGGCUCUAGGAGGAACAAAGAUGGAUCGAGAGGUCACGACAAAAGAGAAAGGAGGGAGGAUAGAGAUACUUCACCAAGAAAGUUGAUACCACCGAAACCGCUACCGCAACUCACAAUGUCACUAGAUCAAAUUUUGAAGAGAAUAAGAGGAAGAAAGUACUUCCAGGAGCCGUCGGUAAGAUGUAGAACAGUCAGGGGAAAGCCAUUCUGUGAGUAUCAUCAGACUUACAACCACCCUACUGGAGAUUGUUAUGAGUUCAAAUCCUUGAUAUGGAAAUGGAUGGAGGAGGGCCAUUUGAGAGAGUUUAUAGUGGAAAAGAACAAGGAGGAAGACAAAACAGAAAUUCAAGUCAGAGGGACCGUUAACAUGAUCUUAGAAGGAGCUAGAGAAUCCUUGAACGAGGUCAGGAGGAAGAUAAGAAGAGUGAUGCAGAUAAGAGAAGACUUACAAACAGUCGGAGCCGUUCCAGUCAUGCGAAAUGGCAGACCAGUGCAUCAGAGUGAGUCGAUUGGGUUUUCAGAGGAAGACCUCAAAGGAGUAGUCACACCACACAAUGACCCAUUGGUCAUUUCCAUACUCAUUGGAAAUUGGAAUGUCACGAAAGUGUUAGUAGAUUGUGGAAGUGAGGUAGAUGUUCUGUUCACCAGGGGCUUGGAUCAAAUGAAACUGGAGAGAGGUAGCUUGGCAAAUUCACCUGGAGACAUUUACGGAUUCAAUGGGGGAGCAGUGCGGCCAGUUGGAGAGAUAGUCUUACCGGUUACAGCACACACCAGAACCGUCAUGUCGAGAUUUGUGGUCAUAGAUGCUCCAACAGAGUACAAUGCAAUCUUGGGAAGAGAAUGGAUUCAUCUUAUGAAGGCAAUUCCGUCAAGUUACUAUCAGAAGAUCCGUUUUCCGACUGAAGAUGGACAAUAUGAGAUAAGGAGCAAUCAGGCUAUGGCCAAGAAUUUGAAGAUAGCAACAGUAAAAAGUAUGAGGCAUGGCACAGCAGGUGCUGGGCCGUCAUCUAUCCCUGCAUAGCAACGACAGAAGGAGGGUGACGGGUUCCCGCGUGAAGUGCUAAAGACAGAAGAACAAACGGAACCCGUCAACCUCAAUGAGGUAGGGGAUCAGCGGAUCACCUACAUGGGAACCAACUUGGAUGAGAAGGUGAGGUUUGAUCUUUUACAAUUCUUAAAAGAUAAUAUGGAUGUAUUUGCUUGGUCUAUGAAUGAUAUGACAGGGAUCGAUCCAGACGUAGCAUGUCACAGAUUGAAUGUCAAUCCAAGUUUCAAACCAGUCGCGCAGAAAGUGAGAACAAUAAAACCUACACUGGCAGAGGCAAUAAAACAAGAGAUCGAGAAGAUGGAGUCAGCUGGAAUAACAAGAGAAGUUCAGUAUCCAGAGUGGGUAUCUAACAUAGUGGCGGUUCCGAAGAAAAACGGAAAGGUUCGGAUCUGUAUAGACUUCACAAACUUAAACAAAGCAUGUCCAAAAGAUAGAUACGUCAUGCCAAGGGUGGAUGAGCUAGUGGACAGAACAGCAGGCUUUGGGUUACUGUCAUUCAUGGAUGGCUAUUCCGGCUACAAUCAGAUUCCUCUAUAUGGUCCAGAUCAGGAGAAAACGGCCUUCUAUGCUGGUAAGAAAACUUUAUGUUAUACCAAAAUGCCAUUUGGUUUGAAGAAUGCAGGAGCUACUUAUCAGAGGCUGGUAGAGAUGAUGUUCGAAGAUCAGCUGAGGAAGACGGUAGAAGUAUACAUUGAUGAUAUGUUAGUCAAGUCCAAAGAGCCGGAGGAUCAUCUAAAGGACCUGGGAGAAACCUUCCAGACACUGCGUCAGUUCAAUAUGAAGCUUAAUCCAGAAAAAUGCACUUUUGGAGUACAGUCAGGAAAGUUCCUUGGUUACAUUGUUACCAAGAGAGGAAUAGAGGUUAGUCAAGAGCAGAUCAGGGCACUCACGGACAUGGCGUCACCAAGAACACAGAAAGAAGUGCAAGUACUGGCUGGCCGAAUUACGGCAUUGGGAAGAUUCAUAUCAAGAUCCACAGAUAAAUGCAAGCCAAUUUUGAAGCUCUUGAGAAAGAAUUUAUCUUUUGCUUGGAAUGAUGAAUGUGAAGAAGCCUUCCAGAAGUUGAAAGAAUACUUGAGUAGACCACCAGUUCUGUCAAAGCCAUUUCCGGGGGAGACACUCUAUGUUUAUCUAGCAGUGUCGGACAUUGCAGUAAGUGCGGUCUUGACCAGAAGGGAGGCCUCAAAGGAGAGCCCAGUCUAUUUCCUCAGCAAGAAGAUGACUUCACCAGAGACAAGGUAUUCUAGAGUGAAAAAGUAUGCCCUCGCUUUACUAUUUGCAGCUCAAAGAUUAAGACCUUAUUUCGAAGCUUAUAGUCUGACAGUGGUUUCAAACCUCCCUCUCAAUCAAGUGAUGCCAAAAAUCGAGCGUUCUGGAAGAAUGGAAAAAUGGGCAGUUUCAUUGAGUAAAUAUCACAUUCAGUAUGAGCCCAAGAAGGCGGAAAAAUCACAAGUGCUGGCGGAUUUCUUGGCAGAUUUCCCAGUGGAGGAUGUAAUCAAGGGUGCAGAAAUGCAAGAGGAAGAGCAGCUAGAGUAUCUAGAAGUUCAAGAUACCGGGUGGAAAAGCGUCAAAGGAUGGAAGGUGUUCACCGAUGGGUCAGUAAAUAAAGGAAGAUCAGCAAUCGGGAUAGUAGUGGUAACACCAGAGGACACUAAGAUCGAGAUCGCAGAAAAAUUAGCCUUUCCGGCUACCAAUAAUGAGACAGAAUACGAGGCGGUGCUGAAAGGUUUGGAAGUAUUGCUGAAGUUAGAGGUAAAGGAGGUUACGGUUUUCACAGACUCGAAAUUGGUGGUGGAACAGUUCAAUGGAACAUAUAAAGCUCAGACUGGGAAGAUGAUGUUGUACUUGGAGGCAUUGAAGAGGAGUGUAGCAAAGUUCUCGAAAGUUGAUAUUGUACAUCUGUUUAGGGGAGAGAACCGGCAUGCUGAUGCAUUGGCUUACCUGGCAACGGCAACAGAAGAGAAUUCAACCAAGACUAUAACGUUCAUGCAAAGAUCUCAGCCAAUGAUAGAGGUGAAGGAAGUGACUGUCAACCUCAUUCAAAACUUGGGAGCAAGUUGGAUGGACCCAAUAAUAACCCACUUAAAAGGUGGUUCUCUUCCGAAAGACAAAGCAGAAGCUAGAUCGAUUGUGGAGCAAUCCAAAAGGUAUGCAAUGAUAGGGGAAGACCUGUAUAGGCGAUCACCAACUGGACCGUUAUUGAAGUGUGUACACCCAUCCCAAACAGAAGGAGUCAUGGCGGAAUGUCACAAUGGAAGUUGCGGCAGUCACUCACCGGGACGGGCCAUGGCACACAGGAUAAUGAUUCACGGGCAUUACUGGCCAAGUAUGUAUAAAGAUUGUUGCAACUAUGCUAAGAAAUGUCAUGGUUGUCAGAUUCAUGGGAGACUCAUACAUACCCCAGCUGAAAACCUUCACUUUAUAAGCAAUCCGUGGCCCUUUUCGAUGUGGGGAAUUGAUAUUGUGGGAAAACUGGAGAAGUCACAGGGAAGAGAAUAUUUAAUUGUGGCCACAGAUUACUUUACGAAGUGGAUUGAGGCAGAACCUUUACGAAGGAUCAGGGAGGUAGAUGUCAAAGAUUUUAUCUGGACCAACAUCAUCUGCAGGUUUGGCUUACCAAGGGCUAUAGUAGCAGAUAACGGUGCUCAAUUCCGUGGAGAGGAGUUGAAAAAGUUUCUGGCAAGUUAUAACAUAAAGCAACUCUUCGCAACACCAUUUCACCCACAAGGAAAUGGGCAGGCGGAAGCAUCAAACAAGGCCAUACUGGAGGUACUGAAAAAGAAGCUUGAGGAUAAAAAAGAAAAAUGGUAUGAGAAUCUUUGGGAAGUACUAUGGGCAUACCGGACGACUCCAAGAAGGUCCACAGGGGCAACUCCAUUCUCCCUCACUUAUGGGAUGGAAGCUGUGAUACCACAAGAAAUGUUGGUACAUACGGCUAGAAGAAUGGUGGUCGAUCUAGGGAAGAAUAAUGAGAUAAUAGAGAGAGAGCUGGUCUUAGCUGAGGAGGUCCGGGAGCGCGCCAAGCUCAGAUUGGAGGGCUAUCACCGCCAACUAGAGAGGACAUACAACAAAAGAGUCAAGCCAAGAAGCCUAGUUCCAGGGGAUCUCGUGUUAAGAAAACAGAAUCCGCCUCCAGCCAAACUAGAGCCAAACUGGGAAGGGCCUUUUGUGAUAGACAAGGCGGGAGCGAAUGGAGCAUACUACUUAACCUACCAAGACGGUACCCCUCUUGAUAAGCCAUGGAGUAUCAGCAAUCUAAAGAAAUACUAUGCCUAGAGGGCAAAGAUGUAUUAGAGCAACAACAGUAGACAGUAUGUACCUAGAUUUGUUUGAAUUUCAAUGAAAAUAUAAGAUUUUGUUGUUAUUGACUUAUCUAGUUAUAUAUAUAUAGCACUAUUGUCUGAGACCAGGCCAAAGGUCAGACAUAGAAGAAACCCAACUAAGGUUGGUGGGAAAUAACAUAAGUGUAGACUUGGCAGGGCAAGCCGUUAACUAAAUGUUAAAGUCUCUAUAUGAUUAUUUCUUCCCCAUUGAGUUUGAUUUAGACAAUACAGUGGGGUGCCUCUAAAAGAGAAGAGCAAUAGUGCUAGUGUGUUAACGGGGUUGCACUUGCUGAACCGUGACGACGGGAUCAGUAGAAGUAUAGCCUAAUGUUAGCACAUGAGAAACCAAUGCCAGAAGAUAACAAUAAUUGAUAGCAAUUAUAAAAGUUUGCAAUGUUGGAAGACUUUCGUCAAAAUUAAAAAUUAAUCAAAUUACAACUCAAGGCAAGGAGUCUCGGGUGGAAGCGCUAGGAGGCGUUAUCCGCAUUUUCUUGGCAGAAAGAAUAGCGGUUAAGUUUUCCUUCACUUGAGCCUUCACUUGCAUGGCAAGUUGCUCUUUGAAUUUCGCCUCCAUCUCCUCGUAUUUUGAAUUGUAAUCAGCCAGGAGAGUUUCUCUUUGCUCCCGUAGGUCGGCCAGAUACUGCUGAUAGUCAACAUCAUGAGCGGCUUCGAGUUCAUUUAUUUUCACUAAGCUGUCAGCCCAUUUCCCCUCCAACCUUGCUACCACGGUGGCAUGAGCAGCAUCAAGGGCAGCAAUACGCUCACGGUGCUCACCCUCAAGUGCAGCAAUGUGAUUACGGUGCUCACCCUCAAGUGCAGCAACGCGCUCACGGUGUUCACCCUCAAGCCUUUUCCGGUUCUUCUCGAUUUCAGCAUCACGAGACGCGGUUGUUUCUUUCAGUUGAAUCUUAAGUUGCUCGAUCUCGGCUUGAAGAGCCCAUUUCUCGCGAACUAGUCGAUUCUUAUCCACUGUAAUGUCGUGCUUCUCUUUUACAAGAUUUUCUUUUUCCAGCCUAGAAGCAUUUGAAAAAGACUUGACGACGAGACCGUUAACCUACAAUUCAAUAGAAAAGUUAUAGUCCAAAAAAAAAAAAAAAAAAAAAAAAAAAAAGAGAAGAGGGGAGACUUACGAGAGCUAGACCACGGAAAACUGUAUCUCGGUCCUCACCAAAGUUCAUCUGAUCAAUUUUAGCUUGAUCAGAAGGAAAAAUAGAAUUGUAGAUAGCGGCGAAAGCAGUUGCCCCAUUGUCAAAAGCCGAAGCUGAGGGAUCACGGGGAAGGGGAACGGCUGGAGUCUGGCUUGGAGACUGGGGGGAGGGAGAAUCAGCAAGUACUUUACCGCGAGAAGAGGAGCCAACCUUGUUAGGGUCAAAGGCUGGUACAGACUCUGAAGACGAAAAAGGACCUUGGGAAGUAACACCGGCAGGAGGUGUAGAAGUCUUGUCAGCAGUUGGUGCCGGAUUAAUCUCAGCAUCAAGGGUGGGAGAGAAUUGCUGGCCAUCUGCGGCUUGGUCACCUGAUCCAGAUGAAGAAUAAUUAAGAGUACGAUGGCGGGUAUACCUAGGUGCUUCACGAAUAGGUGCAACAAGUGUAGCAACAUCAAAAAUUUCGUGAUCAACAGGAAGUGGUGGAGGCAUCGCACCAAUAAUAGGGGGCUCAUUUGGAUCAAGGAGAGCCAUGGAAAAUUCCUUAAGGGGAGAAGAUGAAGGAUGAGAAGUUGAACCUGGUUGGGCGAGAUUGUCCAUGCCGGUGUCUUCAAAUAGGAGACCACCAUCAAACCCAAGUUCAUCAAGAUUAAAGGAAACCUUGAUUCCACUAAAGUUUGGUUGUCUGGGUUCUUCCAGAGAGUCGCUGGAGGAAGAAGAAGGGGAUCCCGGUAGUUGAGAAGGAGCUUCUGCCAUUUUGGCCCUUUUCACUCUAGGAAUGGAAGGACCGUGUUGCUUUGAACGCGCCAGGUGAACUUCGGGAGAUUCCGGCAAUGUCUCUGGUUCACCUUGGACUGCCUGAAAAUCAGAACUUUCAGUUGAAGAAGAAGAAAGAUCACGACUACAAUUCCUGACAAUCUUUUGAACUCGAAGAGCAGAUAAGAAAGGGGGAAGUCGGGCAGUUACUCUUUUUUGCUUCUUCUUCUUGGAUGGCGCUGAAACUGCGGAAGGAGGUUCACGGGUUCUCUUUUUAGUUAGGAUCGUCUGAAGAGGGAUAUUAUCUCCACCGUCAUCAGAUUCUCUCUCCAACUCAGUAGCGGCAGCAGCAGAAGCUUUACCCUUCCUUUGUGUUGAUCGGGAAGUAGGAGGAAUAGCAGAAGACCUGCCCUUUUUAUCCCUGAGAUAAUCUUUGUGGCAGCAGACGGGUAAGACGUAUUCCCCUAGAUCAAGAUCCUUAACGAUCGGGGUACCGUCUUUCUUUGAGGAAGUAAGCUCACGAAUGGCGGAAUAAGCGUCAGCUCCAGAUCCUAUCAAAGGUUCCCAAGGGGCGUCUUUGCGGGGUCUUAAGGCUUUGCCGUCACCGCGAACCUCUGGGAUAGAAAACAGAUAAAAGAGUUAGACAGGCACUAUCAAAAGGAUUUUCAUCCUAGGAAUGUUAAUAUAUGAACAAAGUAGAAAAAGUGAGGAAAAAACCUCCUAGAUUAAACCGCCAGUAUUUUAAAGGGUUAGAAAUGCCAGGUCCUUUUCCCCCGAAGUUACCAAAGACAAUCAUAGGAAAGUCAGGCCAUUCCUUGUCACUUUCCGGCAAUUUUUCAAUAAUAGACCGCCUACCGGGGCGUUUGACGAAAUAGUAAUAAGGUUGACCACAUUUUUCUUCGCAAACCCGAAGAUAGUAACAUUGACGUAUAUCAGCAAGGGAAACGGUAGUUCCUUCAUUGUUUAGUUGGUCUAGGGCCCGCAAGAUACGCCAAAAGUUACCAAUACAUUGUCCAGGGGCGACUUGGUAAAAAUUAAGUACAUCACGGACUAAAUCAGAAAAAGGAAACGGGCAACCAAAAGCUAUUUGGUGGGCUGUCACCAUAAUAGCAUCUUGGCGGCUAAAUUCGUGAUGUGCAAAGCGUAGGGCAUGUUUGUAGUUGAAAAUUUUUACAUCUUCAGGAAUGUCGUAUAGUUCACAGAGUAGAUCUAAAUCAGGUCUAUAAGGGUAGGUACUGGGCACAUACGAAUCAAGGUAGUAACUGGAAGGGGAAGGGUGAACACCGCCAUCACCUUGACCUCCUUCAACUGUCUUCCUCGAAGAAUCUUUCUUUUUCUGAUUUUGAUAAGAAGCCAUUUAUGUAUAGAGAAAGGCUCACCAAAAUCGUAGAGAAAGAAAGAUUAGGGGCGUAUACAGGAUGACUCCAAGAGGAGGAAAGGAGAGAAGAAAAAUAAUUUGGAAAUUUACGGCAAUCGAAGUACAGAGUAUAUAGCGAGAAGAAGAAAAAUGAAAACCUAGAUCUAAUAAUGGCUAAAAUUAAAAUCAAGAAUAAGGAGAAGAGAAUAACCUGAAUUAGUCGACGGAGGAAGAAAUAAAGACGAGAAUCGAACUUUCAGGGGACCGGACGGUGCGUGAUUUCGUAGAGAAGAUGAAGACUGAAGAGAAAGAUAAACAGAGGAGGAGAAUGAAGAAGAUGAAAGGCAAAUGGAAGAAUUGGGUUAAAGGUUGUAAAUUUAUAUGAGGAUAAUCCCAGGGGUAUUACGGGAAGAAGUAAAAUAGUGACGAGACAGUAGCAUUGGGAAGCGAAAGGACAGCAGUUAAAAUCAUAAGUGCGUCUGGGUAAGAGCAAAAGAGGCACGCGUAGGAGGUUCGGGACUCGAGAGCAUGCGCAAUUAAUGAAUAGCUGGAGAGAUAGGGAUAAGGCAGAGCCUAAGGCACGUGAGGAGCAGGUGAUAGAUUAAGUAAUGAAAAGAACUUAUGACAGUUUUUCCGUCAUCAUAAGGAGUUUACAUUUAGGCGGAGAAAAAGCCUUUGAGCCGCCAUCUAAGAAAUAUAGAUGACGGUCAAAGGAGGGGCGAUGUAAGUACCAAACCAUGCUAGGUGGAGUAUUGAGGACACAGGAGCUAGAUAAGGAGAGCAAACUGGGAAGUACCCAAUCGGAGUUCAGAACAUUCUAGAGUAUCACGGAUAAAGCACGUGAUGUCUGGCUGUAAAGCAUUCACUGUAUAGUAUGUGAUGGAGAAUGAAACACGUAGGAGAUAAUAGAACCAUAGGAUGCAAAGGAGGAUCCAACGGUUCAAGGAAGGCGGUGAAUAUUGCUAUAAAAGGAUCACGUUAGGGUUCGCUAAAAGGUAACUGUUCAUUCUUUGCUAAAAACCUAUUCUCUAAACCUAGCCGCUUACUGACUUGAUCGUUGGAGCUUUAUCCACCGGUCAUUGUCCGGUGGUCAUUGCAGGUACUACCGUUGAAGCAGUUGAAGGACCCAGCUGAGCUCAUCAAGGAAAGUGGGCUUACAGAUAUAAUGAGAAAAGUGGAGAGGAUUUAGUUUUACUUACAAGUUACUCUGAAUGCUUCAAGAAAAUUCAAGUACACAAUUUGGCUUUCGAGCAAGCAGUUGUAAUUGUUUAAUCUCUCUUUCUGGCAGUUCUCCAGGAUAUAGCUUAGAGUUAAAAUAAACCCUUGUUGUUAGUUUGAUAGUCAGUUUAUCCAAUACUCUUGCACUUUUUAUCAAAAAUUUAACAAACCACAUCUUCUCCGCUGUCCAUCUAAAAUGCUGGAUCUCAACUAACUUCAAGUGUGACAAGAAACAUUUUGGAGUUGUUCCCAUUAUUUGAACUUAUCCUUUAAAUUGGAUCGAACUAAGUCCCUAUAUAGGAAACAUAAUUAGAAGCUUUAAAAUGAAACUGACAUGAAAAAGUUUCUUUUCAAAGCCGAAAAGAACACAAAGGAAAAUUAUGGACUUACAUCGGGAACGGAAAUAGAUUCGAUAUUAGGCAUGUUACAGAGUAAAUCUAUGAAUGUUCUACCAUUUGCCUCCGUUUUGUACCACACAGUCAGAUGGAUCAAGCGGGAAAGUGCAAGUAAAUGGAUUGAGUGGUUCGGACAGGCGAGGGCCUAGAUAUAUCAAAUAGUACUUCUGAUAAAAAAGGUAACCCCUGAACUUCAACGAUACAAAAGUACAAGACUCUGCAUAAAUCCUUAUCGCACAAGAAUUUAAAACAUCAGUCCCCCCAUCCCCUAUUUUUAGCAGAAAUGGUAACACUCUUGAUCUUUGACCAUACACAGUAAUCUAGGAAAAAUUCAUCUAGGAUAGACAACUUAAAGAAAUUUCCUGUAUUGAUUGAUCUCCAAAAAAUGCAAUCUAAGAUGCAGGACCUUAAGGCUUGAAAAACAAACCAAAGCGGGUAUCUUCAUCGAGACACUCAUUUCAAUUUCAAUAUCCUCAAUGAUUUAUAAGUAAAAUGCAAUCUGAAAACCGAAAGGGACAUUCCUUAAAAAAUUGAGAUAUUUAGUUCUUGAACUUUACGCCUCAUUGCCUCAUAGAGAUCCAUUCAUUGAAGUGAGUUGCAUCACACUCCUUACAUUUGAGGUUGCACCUAGCAUAUAUUUGAAAUAUCAUUGCAACGAAGCACUUUGUCUACAAACUCACUAAAGAUUCCCUUUGUUUUCCUAUAAUUUGGACUCUUGCUCGAGUCGUUAUACAAAUGUUCAUCACAAAAAUCAAGAUUGUGGAUGAACUUCCAAAAGGCCAUUCCAUCUUGUUGAUAAUACACUAGUACCCAGUGGCGGCCCUGAGGGCAUGCCCAAGAAGCUUUUGAUUGGGGCCAACCAAUUUUUAAAGAAAAAGUGCACUAAAUCUUUACUCAACAUGUAUAUAAUUAUUUAUAGACCACAAUAUUGUCAUAAUUAAUUUGGUAGAUUUACUGGUAGCAACACUAUACCCUACUAAAAAUGCCCUAAGACCAAUUCUUAAGUACUAUUUUUUUAAGAAUUUUUUUUUUCCACAAAAAUUAUUUUCUUAUGUGUUUAGAAGUAGGGGUGUUAAACGAGGCGAACGAGCCAAGCUUUGGUAUGUUCAAACUUGAGCCAAGCUUUUAACAAGCCGAGCCCAAGCUUUUCGGUUCGUUUAACGACCUUAUUUAAAAGAAAUGUAGCUACACAUGUGGGUCAUCUAUGUUUAAAUUUGAAUUGGCCACCUAAAACUCAGGGCCGGCCCUGCUAGUACCCAACAACAUAUUUAGUAGGAAGAAAGGAGAGGAUGUAAUGCAGAAUCCAGAAUGUGUUCAGGUAAAUUGUUAAUUCUAUCGAUCUCACCAUUGCACUGUUGUUUAGAUAGUUUUUGCUUUUUAGAAUUUUUUGCAGAAGCACUUGUUUCCAUGACUAAGGUUCCAACCAGAAGCUAUACUGGAAUAUCUAAGAACAGACGAACUUAUGAUUGAUGAACAAUAGUGUAUGCUUAAUGCAUAAAAGGAAAAGGCACAAACAUUGCAGAUAUCUCUCUGUUUUACUGAUCGAAUCAACUCACUCUCUUGACAGCACUAGUAGCACACGCGAAAAAGUCGGUCGAUCUCUUUUGGUCCUCUUUGGCUGUGUCCAAGUGAAACUCAAGAAUGAAGCAGAUAGGUUCCAGUCGAAGGCAUUCAGCGAUGGGAUUGAGAAGAUAUGGAAGAAGAUUCAGUGAUCCCAGCAGGGUCAAUCUCAUAGGGGAAGUCAACUAGUGCGGGAUAUAAGAAAAUAAUUAUAAAAUAAGAUGACACCUCAAAAAGGAAGAAUUACAUUAUUUUAGUAAGGAAAAUAGGCAUUACUUUCUAAAUAAAACAUUGCGUUGUAACUAUGAGAGAGUCUUUUCUCUCUCUCUUCUUUUAAGUUUUCUCUAUCUGAAUGUCGAAGACAUAUUACUUAUUUAUCAAGAAUGUUUCUAAAUUGAUAUGUACAAUUAUUAUAUAUUUGCCAAGAUGUUCUACAUUUCUAAGAUUUCCAUAUUACUGAAUAAAUAAUCAAAUGUUAGGUUGAACUCCAAGUUAAUUAAUUAAUUCCACAAUGUAGAACAAGAUAAUUAUAUUUUAAAUAAAUAAAUAAAUGUAGCAAACAAAAAUAAUCAAGCUGUUUUCCUUUUAAUAGCAACAAAACUGUAUCAACGAACCAUCUUUAGAGUUAGAGUAUCAAUGAACAAGGUAAUCUAAAAUUAUCAUUUCAUAUAUAAAUUGAAUUAUCAAUUAGGGUUAGAGUUCAUUAUUAGUGGCAAAAAAAGGUUAGAGUUCAUUAAACUUUAGAACAUUUCGUCAUGUGAUGUGAUAUAUUGGUUUCAAGAGUUAUCUACAAAUCCUCCAUUCGUUAAUAUUGUAGAUGAUAUACAGUAGAACCUCUUUAAAUUAAUACUCGAUUCGUUAAUCUCUCUAAGUUAAUGAAAUUCUCUAGUCCCGAUUUACAUCGUAAGUAGCUAAAUCAACACUCGGUAAGUUAAUAAAUUUUAAUAAAAUUGCAUAGGUCCGAUGCUAUUAAUUUAAAGAGGCUCUACUGUAUAAUUCAAUCUAUCUCACUUAUUGAGAAAAGUGAAAACAUUGGAGGUAUGAAGAAGUAAAGUGAAGAACUACAGUAAAAUUAAUAAUAAUGAAUAAUCUCAGCCCUUGUAGAAAUUAAAGCAACUUUAGGUUAGCUGUAGACAAGAUAGAUAUGGACGAAGUGAUUCUCAUUAUUCACUUCUUUGUUCUCUAUACAUAGCUUAGCCAAACAUAACAUGUACAUAGGAAAAAGAGGUGUAUUCACUUGUUAUUUCUCUAAGUACCACAUACAGUAUAUAUAUAGGCAUCACAAAGUCAAUCACUUGUGCUUAGCUAACAUAGGUGAGUGCCACCUAGCAUCCUUUUCUGACACAUCAAUUUGAUGACUAAUCAAGUAUCACUGAUGGUCUACCUAAUCACCUGGAUUAAGAGUGUGGGCUUGGAUUUGGACAUCCACUAUUUACAACACUCCCCCUUGGAUGUACAAUAUCCACCAUAUCAAGAUAUUGCCUCAUAAAACCUUGCUAGGAAAAUCCAGUGGGAAAAAACCAUGGCAAAGGAAAAAAAGUACAAUAAUUGAUUUCUUGAUUGGUGUUGGAUGCACUAUAUACUGCCUCGUUAAAACCUUGCUACGAAAACCCAGUGGAAAAAACCGUAGCUAAGGAAAAAUAGUACAGUGCGCUUAAUGUCCUGGUGGCUCCCCCUGAAGACAACUCCCCCUGAUGAAGAUUAGACUAAGCUCGACUUUCGGCGAAUCCCAAUGUCAUAUGCCAGUUUCUUAAAAGUUGAUGGAGGUAGUGACUUAGUGAACAAAUCAAAGAGAUUCUCAUCAGACCAUAUCUUCUGGACAUUGAUCUCAUUACUCUUCUAUAGUUCAUGAGAGAAAAAGAAUUUUGGAGAAAUAUGUUUUGUUCUAUCACUUCUGAUGUAGCCUUCCCUGAUUUGAUCAGUAGAUGCAGCAUUGGUUGUGGUUGAUGAUACAUCAUAUCUAAACAACAUGCGGGCUCCCCUCAGUUACAGAAACACUAACAGUGAUUUGUUUGGAAGAUCACCAAGAAAUUGUUGUACCACCAUAAGUAAAUACAUACCCGGUUUGCGAUCUUUCUUUGUAUGGGUCAGAUCUAUAUCCUGCAUCUGCAUACCCCUUUAGUUAGGAGCCAUUUGGUGGUUCUCUUGAAUAUUAUAAACCCAUAUCAGCCUCGAAAGUAACGCAUAAUCUCUUUUAAGCCAGUCCAAUGGCGUUGGGUUGGAGCUGACCUAAACCUGGCUAACAAAUUCACUGCAAAUGAAAUGUCAGGUCUAGUACAUUGGACUAAAUAUAAAAGAGCACCCUUAACACUCAAGUAUGGUACUUAAGGAGUAAGUAAAGAUUCGUUCUCCUCUUUAGGACGAAAUGGGUCUACCUUCACAUCAAGUGACCUUACGACCAUUGGAGUGCAAUUUGGCAACAUUUGUCCAUGUUAAAACGAUUUAAAACUUUUUUAGUAUACGUUGACUGAUGGACAAAUAUUCCAUGUGUUGUAUGUUCGAUCUGCAGGUCGAGACAAUACUUUGUUUUCUUGAGAUCUUUCAUCUCGAACUCAUUCUUUAAAUAGUUUGCAGCUUUGGCAAUCUCUUCAGGAGAUCCAAUUUUAUUUAUGUCAUCUCUUAAUCUUAAUAGAGUACAUAUGACAUGGUUUUGCUUCAGGCAGUUAGUUUGCAUCUUUAGCAAUCUCUUCAUGAGAUCUAAUUCUAUUUAUGUCAUCUCUUAAUCUUAAUACAUAUGACGUGGUUUUGUUUUAGGCAAUUUUUAUCCUUCAGGGACUUUCAUAUAAAUAUCAGUAUUUAACAUUUCAUAAAGAUACGCAGUAACCACGUUCAUGAGAUGCAUGUCGAGUCUUUUAAAGACCGCCAGACUAAUUAAGAAUCGAAACGUAAUGACAUCCAUCACAAGAAAAUAUGUCUCUUCAUAAUCAAUCCCGGGUUUUUGCGAGAAAUCUUGUGCCACGAGACGAGCUUUAUACCUCACAAUCUCAUUUUUCUCAUUGUGUUUCCUUAUAAAUGCCCAUUUGUAACCUACAAGGUUAACAUUCUUGGGGGUUAGGAAACACAUUUGUUUUGCAAGAGAAUCUAAUUUUGUUUGAAUUGCAUCCUUCCAUUUUGGCCAAUCAUGUCGUUGUCGACUAGGGCUGGCAAUGGUACGGGUUAGACCCGAAACCCGGUCCGAUCCGUACCGAUAAGAAUAGGUUUGGUAUUGCAUUUUUAUGUAUUGGUACGGGUCUGGUUCUUCAAAUUAGGACCCGAUUGUUAUCGGAUCGGGUUUGGAAUUAGUAGAUACCGAACCGAUAUGGACCCGAUAUAAAUUAUUUUGAGGUUUUGAAUAUUUUAGAUUCACUACCAUUAUUAACAUAUCAUAAAAAUCCUAAAUUCUAGAAAUUUGAUUAUUGUAAAUAAAUGUUUUAAUACUAAUUACCUUAUAAUUAUAUGCAAUUACAUUAAAAACAUAGAAAUAAAUAAAAUCAUAUACCAUAUUUGUAUACUUGAUUAUAUAUAUUUACUAAAUAUAUCUAUCUAGAUUCUUAAAAAGUAACUCAUUUUUUCUAAAUUUGUAUACAUGACAUAUCAAUUUAUGGUCAAAAUACCCGAAUCCAACUCGGAUCCGAUCCAAUAAGAUUUGGUAUGGGUAUGGUUCCUUACUUUCGGACCCGAUAGGGUCUGGUUCCGGGUCCAGGAUUAUUAGUUUUCUUAUUGGUUCGGGUAUGGUAUUUCUAAUAUCCGGUCUGAAUCGGUCCAUUGCCAGCCCUAUUAUCGACAUUCCUCAACAGUAUGUGUAUCAAGACCAUCAUCAUCUGCUGCAAUCUCAGCAGCUACGGCAAAGGAGAAUACGUCAUCGAUGACAAUUUUAUUUCUAUUCCACAACUCUCUUGUGUAUGCAUAAACUACAGAAAUUUCAUCAUUUUCAGGUACCUGAGCCAUAUCUGGGGCUUGUGUUAGUUCUGGGACAACCACUUUGGGGGCUUGUGUCAUUUCAGGGGUUUAUGUCACUUCAGGGACGACCACUUAGGAGCUUAUUUCGCUUCAGGGAUGGCCACUUCGGGGGAUUGUGUCACUCUAGGGACACAUUCCUCUUCAAGAGGUUUUUGUUUAGAGAGAGUGUGUUUUCCUUGCCUUAUAGCCUCUUUAGGAGCGCUAUUUACUGGAGGUUUUGUUUGACUUUUCCUCUUCCAGGGAUUUGAGUCCUUUGACCCAAUAGGUCGUCCACGCUUCUGGCGUACUUUAGACGAUUUCAUUUGCUGCCACAUUUGUGGGAUUUCCUUCAGGGACAUGUCAUCCUUCAGGGACAAAUCGUCCUUCUGGGACUUUAAUUCUCGCAGGCGCAUUAACAACUGCUAUAUUUUAUCUUAUCACUCUUGCAAGUCAAUUUAGGCGCUUCUUCAGGAAGCCACAAAUAUUUACACCGUUCUACAGUAACGGUACUUCUUCAGGAAGUGCUUCUUCAGGAAAUCGUAAAUAUUCACGCUGUUCUUCAGGAACAGAUGUAUUUUCUCCCCCUAACGGCGGGAAAACUGUCUCAUCAACGUGACAAUCUGCAAAUCUAGCGAUACGAACAUCAUAUGUCAAUGGUUCAAGAUAUCUAACAAUAGUUAGAGAAUCAAAACCAACCCAAAAAAUUCUAGACUACGAGACAUAUAACUUUACUAUCCGCAAGAUGAUUAUACAUGCUAUAUGCAUAUCCCUUCACAAUACAAGGAAAAUAUUUAAGUAUACUAUUAGAAACGAAUUUCAAAUAGUAAAACAAUGUAUAUGAGGAUUAUUUGACCAAAUAAAGUUAGAACUUCCGGUUCUUAAUUAAUGGAUUAAAACUUCAAGUCUAAUCAAAGAUGUGAGACUUCAGGCUUGAUCACUAACAAAUAAAAACUUUAGAUUCUUGGUCAAAAUCAAAUAUUUGAAACUUCCGGCUCACUGAGGAUUUUCUCGUUUUAUAAAGACUUCAGGCGUCAACAUCAUUUAUAAAAUAUGAUCAUUAGACUUCGAGUCUUGAUCUAAUCAUACAUAACUUCAAGUUCUUGGAGCUUUAAGCCCAAAUAAAAAUUAAAUUUGAUGUUGAGCUUCUGGUUCAUUAUGGAACACAUCAAUAUCACUAUGAAAUAAAUGGUUAGAACCAAUAAUUUCAAUUUAAAAAAUCAAAUACUUACUCAAUACUUACACCGGUAGUAGUGUAGUAGUUUAAUAUUGUAGUUCUUGUCUAUGUACUUCUUGAACAAUAGAGCAAUCUCGUGCUGAUAACGUCGUAAAAAUUAAAGCAACUUCAGGUUAGCUAGUUGUAGACAAGAUAGAUAUGGACGGAGUGAUUCUCAUUAUUCACUUCUUUGUUCUCUGUACAUAGCUUAGCCAAACAUAACAUGUACAUAGGAAAGAGAGGUGUAUUCACUUGUUAUUUCUCUAAGUACCACAUGCAGUAUAUAUAUCUAUAUAAUAUUACAAGGCGGUCUCAUAAACACAGCCGUUAGAUGCCUAUUAGGACAACCACAACCAUUGGAUGUAGAAUAAUUUAUAUAAUCGAUGUAAUAAGUUGUAAUAAUAGCCUUAGAUGUCCAAAAUUCGAUCUUAACCAUUAGUUGUCUAUUGAGACAAUCGUAGCCAUAUGAUUAAGAGUUUUAAUUGCUAUCACAUUAAAUUUCAGAAAUAUAACCUAUAGAUUAAUUAAUAAUACUAAAUAACCAAUAAUUAUGAGACAUGGGCAAUUAAAAUUAUUGUAAAUUAAUUAAUAAUACUAAAUAACCAAUAUUUAUGAGACAUGGACAAUUAAAAUCAUUGUAAAUUUAUUUUUAAAAUAAUAAUAAAAAUAUUGAAACCAAUGAAUCUUUGGUGUAUAAGGAUUUAGAUGUUCAAAAUUCGAUCUUAACCGUUAGUUGUCUAUUGAGAGAAUCAUAGCCAUAGGAUUAAGAGUCUUAAUUGCUAACACAUUAUCUUGUGGAUUAAUUAAGGCUCCAGAUUUUGCCAAAGAAAAAAAUGUUUUUGCCAAUGAUUAAUUCUUGGUAUUACAUAAUUGCCCUCAAUUAGUUUAAUUUAAAAUUUAACUAUUUAGUAUUCACAAAAUCUUGGAGAAAUCUAUUAAUGCUUUGCCCAUAUAAGGAUCAUACAGAAAUUUUGUAAUUAAAUUUUUUUAUUUUAAAUCCCCAAUUUUGAAUUUAUAUUUAUUUAAAAUACUUAAAAAAUAGUUUUUUAUGUAAAAGUUUAAUAAAUAGAAAAUGAAAAAGAUUCACUUUCAUUAUUGAUUGGUUUAAUCAAAAUUUUGAUAUGUAAUUAGAAAAGAAGAAUCAAACAAUUUUAGUGAAUCAAGAGAUUUGAUUUAACAGAUAUUUUGAUUUUUAAGAAUCUAAAUUCUAAAAAAAUGAAAAGUGGUUUUUGAACAACAAUUGUCAUAUUUAUGGUAAAACAAUUGAGGGUAAUUGUGUCAUAUCAAAAAGUUAUCAUUGGCAAGAUUAAUUUAAUUGAACCAUUAAAUUGCAAAUGUUUACUUACAUAUUAGCAAGAUUAAUUUAAUUAAAAUUUUGUAAUUAAAUUUUUUAUUUUAAAUCUCUAAUUUUGGAUUUAUAUUUAUUCAAAAUACUUAAAAAAUAGUUUUUGAUGUAAAAGUUUAAUAAAUAGAAAAUGAAAAAAGAUUCACUUUCAUUAUUGAUUGGUUUAAUCAAAAUUUUGAUAUGUAAUUGGGAAGAGAAGAAUCAAACAAUUUUAGUGAAUCAAGAGAUUUGAUUUAACAGAUAUUUUGAUUUUUAAGAAUUUAAAUUCUAAAAUAUGAAAAAUAGUUUUUGAACAACAAUUGUCAUAUUUAUGGUAAAACAAUUGAGGGCAAUUGUGUCAUAUUAAAAAGAUAUUAUUGGUAAAAUUAAUUUAAUUGAACUCACUAAAUUGAAAAUGCUUACUUACAAUGACAACUAAAUACUCGAAAACUAUUGUUGUAGGUUAUUUAAACUUUCUUACAAUAAUGGUGUUGACUAAACAAGAUAAAAUCCAACAAUAUCUAGAUGCAGGGUAUAAUGGACCACUGGAAGCAGCUAUGCGCUUAUUGGAAAUAUACUACCUAUAGAGAGACCGAAAGUGCAACGAUUACACCUCCAUCUUAUUGGAAUGCACCGUCUUCUUUUUAAUCCUAAUGAAUCAAAGAAAGCUAUUUUUAAAAGGGCUCAAAAUAAGAAAUCUACUCUAACUGCCUUUUGUUUAUUGUUGUGAUGCAGAUGCUUAUUCAAGGGAACUAACAUAUCAAGAGUUCUCUCAACAUUAUGUCUAGAACAAUGAAGAUUCUAAGUGGACAAGAAAAAAAUAUAGAUUUGCCAUUAGUAGAAUGUAUUUUACAAGUCCUAAUUUAAGUGAAAAAUUCUAUUUGUGGUUGUUGGUUACGAUUGUUAAAAGGUCUUGCACUUUUAAUGAUCUUAAAAUAUAUGACAAUUAUUUAUUUAAUACGUUUAAAAAAGCAUGUGUUGCACGUGGUCUGUUUGAGGAUGAUCAAGGAUACGUAGAAUGUUUAGAAGAGAUUACUCUUAUGGAAAUGUCACACGUUCAAAUUUUUUCCCGAUUGCAGGAAAAUAACACAAGCAUUAAAGCUUAGGAUUGCAUAAGGAGGGUAUGAGAUCCAAGUCUCUACUGAGUACAUUAUGCCACUAUUUUCCAUUCCUCCUAUAGUGGUUGGUAGUGAGACCACUGCUAAACUCUUGGUCACAAAAAUUGGUUGUGAAUGCAGUUGGAGUUGUUCUAUAUUAUCUUUUAGUAAUGUUUGAAUGUUUGUCACAUCUAUGUCUACUGUUUUGGUAAAUAAAUACUCAAUAUAUUUCAAUUAAUUAAGGGAAAGAUACUAUCACUACAAAAGAAUUUAGUUAUUCUAACUGGUAGUAGUUUUCCAUGUUUUGCACUGUACGUAAUUCAAACAAUGGGUCUUGGGAGAGAAAAUGACAACUGUAAUCAAUUUCAAAGUAUUAUGAUUUGGAAAGAGAUAUUUAAAACGUUUACUUAAAUGCUUACACACCAUUCUCUACCCCUCCAUAUGUUCUUCUAUGUGUUAAGAACUCAUACCAAAAAAAUAAAAAUAAAAAAAUACACAACUAAAAUGGAUGCUACCUAUAACUCUUAAAAGAAAGAAAAUGGCUAGAGAAAAAUUUUCAUAUGUUUAAUAUUUGUCUGCAAUCAAAGAUGGAGUGAAAUAAAUACAUAUUUGAAGCAAUUGAAUGAUAUUGGUAAAGUUCAAUAUAUAUGUAAUAUAUGCAACUAUUAUAUCCAAAAGCUCAUUAGGAUAAAAACUAAAGCCAAACGUGUUAUUGUUAUUCUUGAUCAAAGUAAAAGAUAUAUCAACUACAAUAAACACAAAAAUAAAUUAGUUGGAUGCAACAAAUAAAAAAUAUUAAAUCAAAAUUUAAGAUAAAUAUUUAAUAAAAAUUAUAGAAAAAAAAAUUAAAAUAAUAAUAAUUAAAAUAAUCGUGCCUUAGGCACAAGUUAUAACUAGUAAUACAUAUAUAUAUAUAAAUAAUAAUCUACAAAGGGUGCAUAAUUUGACUAGGACUAAUUUAUAUGACUAGGAUUAAUUUCUAUGACUGGGAUUAAUAUUUAGUAUGAUUAGGACUAAUCUACAAAGGGUGCAUAAUUUGACUAGGACUAAUUUAUAUGACUAGGAUUAAUUUCUAUGACUGGGAUUAAUAUUUAGUAUGAUUAGGACUAAUAUCUAUGAUUAAGUCUGAUUAGGACUAAUACACCCAAAACCUUAAUCGUCAAGUCAGUUUGCUAAACCUUAAUCUCUUCCAUCAUCAUCAUCGUCCUCUUUUAACCAGAAGAAAAAACUAAAACAAAAGUGAAAACGAUCUGCAAAUCCCUACUCACACAAUUGAGCACUAAAUAAGGAUUUGAGGGAUUUUGCUUCCUUACAACACCCUCGAAUUGAGUUUGCUUUGCUUCCUUUAUAAUACUCAAAUCACCCAAAACCGAGCUUGACUUAUUAUGGAGUCUGUUUUGUUUGUAGGAAAUUCGUUAGUUAUGAUUUUUAGGUGGUUCUAAAUUCUGCUGAAUUUUUUUUGAAUUUUUCUGUUUGGAUUUUGAAUUUUUAAUCGUCCAACAGCAUCAAGUUCUUCUUAAUCUGUUUGAAUUCAAGCCCAACAACAUCAAGUUCUUAUUUGGACAAUUGUUCUUAUUUUGCAGUCAAUUCAAUUCUAUAUAAACUGAACUAUUAGUUUUGAUCCUGUAUUACAAUCACAAUUAUUGACUGUAAAUAAUGUGAAUAAGUUGCAGAAUACUUGAAUGAGGAUUAAUUUUAAUACUGUAAAACAAUUCAAUUCUUUUAGGCACAUUGAGACCAAGGACGAAAAACAAAGUUAAUGAAUGAUGGAGUAAUUUAUGUAGUGUAGCUAGGUAGCUUGGGUUAGGAGACAUGUCUGUCCCUCUCUUCAAGUACUCCUGCAUUUGCACUGCAGUUAAAUUAUGCCCGUCCAUCGCAAUGAAUUCUUCAGCUGUCAUCCCAAUCUUAUUACUUUUAAAGUUUCAAUGUCUUAGGAACAUCUCAUGACAUUAUAGCAUAAUGAAACUUUAAUAGUUAUCACUAAAAUACACUCCAAAUUUUGUGUCUAGAGUUGCUUUGCUGCAUCUCAAACUAAUAUGCUAUGCUGUCAUAUCAGUUAUUCGUGUUCAUGUAUUCAGCAUUGGAUGUCUUACAGUGAUCUUCAUUCAUUAAGCAAAACUAAAAAUUCAUCGUAUUAGUAACCAAAAUCAUGUCGACACCUUCUUAGCGAAAUCACUUAUAUAGAAAACUAGAACUAAUGUUAUGGUAUUAUUAGGAGCCCCAAGGAAAAUGAUGUAGUCUGAAACCAUUUGAAUGGGGGAGUGUAUAGAGAGAGCUUUGUCAGAUUUGUACUACCUCUUCCUUGGUAGUAUACUAGCCAUAGCUUUCCUGAUUUUGUUUUCUCCUUAUUUUCCGGCCUCCAUGUGAAAUGUGCAUUGCCUAAUAACAAUGAUGCUUUCUUAAAACAAUAAUAUAAGCUGACACGGGUAUAGGUUUCUUCUACAGACAAACUGAAGUGAUGAGGGAAUUUUAAGUUAAUUAAAUGAGUACGGGACUAGAAACUAAUCUAAUGUAUUUUUAAGAAAAAACAAUGAUGUAUGAAAAAUUAAAAAUUAAUAAAUUAGAAUUAAAUAAUAUCAAGCUAAAUUAAUCAAAAAGACAAAGGAAAGUUUGCUGAAAGUGUAUCUAGAGCCGGUCAUAAUCUGAAGAGGGUGGACUUCGACUCUGACGUUAGCCUUACGUCGGUGACCCAAAAUAUAAUAGCAGACAAGUUUUGAAAACCAGAAGAACAAGCUAAAAUCCAGUGUAGACAAUAAUUAACACCUCACAAUGAAUUUUGUAAGAAAUAUUCAAUUUGAUUAAGUACUUUAACUAAUAUGGCAUAUGCUUGGAAUUUAAAUUUUAAACAAUGUCAAAUGGAGCCUAAAAAGUAAAUGGGAUUUGGAUUUAUACAUAUUGUCUCCUUCAUUCCUUCGAAUGUUUUCGUAGUUGAGUAUCCUUCUAGAUACUAUGUUGAGGUUAAUACCUUUAUUUUCACUUUUUAGCAUACAAUUUUGAUCUAUAUUAUCAUACAAACACAAAAAAAUUGUUUUUUCGUUUAAUGUUAGCAGUUUUGUUUUGUUUCCCUGUUUUACUAACUAAGAAAGUUUUAUUUCAACUACUGUUGAAAUCCUAAAACGUUAGCUUGACACUUUCCCCAUUGUUUUGCCCUUCCCAGUAUUCCACUUAUAAUGCUCCCCCGAGCUGACUUCUUUUAUAUCUACAUUGUCUGACAGAGAAAGAACAAUGGGUACAAAAGCCUUCUUCUGAUGAGUCUGUCAUGUGUAACAACUCCAUCCAGAAAUGCCUAGGCUGAUUUGAUAUUGAAGUUUCCACCUAGACUAAGAGCCGAUAUGAUUUUAAAGAUUUAAGUUUGGAUUAUACAUGUUAAGAUCUAAUUAUAGAGUACUUGAGGAGCUGGUGAUAGUUCAUUGUAGUUGUAGGCAUUCUAGAACUUUGUUGGCUAAGUGCAUAGCACAAAAUAUCGCGACAAUUAUAGUGUGACAAGUUUGACCAUUUUGAGAAACUACAAUUUUGUUUAGAAAGAACUUAGUCAAUAUUACUUGAAUGGGAACAAAAUUAGCCCAUUUUAAUUUAGGUACUUAGAAACACUGAAACAGAACACAAACUUGACAAAUUGAUGCAUUAGCUUGAUUUUUCUGGAAGGAACAUUAAUUAGCAUGGGCACUCCAUAUAACUAGGAAAUAUUAUGUGAGUGAAAAAGCAAAAGAAUAAAUUAGCAUAUAUAAUCCAUUUACGUUUUUAUACAGUAAAUGCAGAGAUAAUAUUAAUUGAUAUCUACAUUAAUAAGGAAGAAAAUGCAAAAGGAUAAUGUUCAGAAGAAUAAUGUUAUCAUAUUCCUUGGUAUGAUAAAUAUGGAUUAAGAAUAGAAAUUUGUUGAAGCCAAAUAUGCAUGUUUCGCCAACUAGCUUAUAAAAAUAUUGAAAUAAUUAGAGAUAUUUUGCAUGCAAUUUGAUUAGCAAGGACAAGUGAGCGUUACGCCUUUUCCAAUAACAAAUCUGAAGACCCUUUCAAUAAAAAUAUAAUAGCCUAAAUACCAAUCGAAUAAUACGUCGUCCAAUGACUUGGCAGGUAAUGUUACUUUCCAGAUGUGAGGCUAAUGGAACUGUGCACUUGGGAAUCCUCCAAGAAUGGUUUGGAAUACAUUGGUGGAACUCCCGAGCUUUCACUUUGUUCUGCACUAUCAUAUUUAUCAUGCUUUUGAGAUUAUUUGAGAUUAUGGUACAAAAACUUUUUUGUUCAUUCUUAUAUUUAUAGUUGUGGUUUUUUCUUAAUGGUUAUGAGAAGUACAAAACAUUAUUGAGAGGGCAUUGAUAGUAAAGGGGUAUACAGUACUUCUUGGAAGUUAAUUAUAUGCAAACUAGAUUUAUGUGAAAUUGUUGUUUGCUAUACAGGUAAACUAUGGUUCCAAACAAUUAUUCGAGACUCUGCCAGUGGCCACAGGAGGACUCUAUUGAAUUGGGAACCAGUUCAAAAUAUAAGCUUUUGUUACAGAUUCGUGUUCUCAAAUGAUGCUUCAUCUCCAUGACGUGUAUGAUACAAAGUCUCAAUAAGGUUAAGCAUUUGCCAACUCUACAGUAUUUCUAUAUGACCGUGGAUCUCCAUGUUCAUUUUUGUAACUUAUCGAUUAAUCUCACUUUCUACUUUAAUCGAUAAAUAUAAAAAUAAAAAUUGUUUACGGGUCACCAUGUGGAGAAGUAGAGGUAGAAUCUAAGCAUACUCAAGCUAGCUGGGUUGUGUUAGUAGCUUAAGUAUGAUCCAAAUCUAUUUUCUGUACUAUGACAUGAGCUGAUAGCUUAGCUUUUGAUGUUAUUGCACUUGAAUAACAUUAACUUUUGAUAGUUAGUAGCAAUUGAACUAUGACAUGAGCCGCUUGAAUGAGGCUGAAGCCUUUGAAGCUUGGGUUUUAGAUAGGGCUGGCAAAGUGACCCGAGACCCGUUAACCCGACACGAACCCGACCCGAUAUAAACAGGUUUGGGUUUAGCCUUAUCGGGUUGGCGGGUCAUUUUGACCCGAACCUGUUAACCUGUUUAAUAUACAGGUCGGGUUCAGGUCUGAAUAUUAACAGGUCGGGUCAGACCCGAAACCCGUUAGAAAACCCUAAGUAUAAAAUAGAAAAAUACCAAUACCCUAUCUAUCCUUGUUAUUUUCUUCUUGGCCGCCACCAUGAACAAACCAGUGAACCACCAUUAACGUCUGUUCUUCUUCAUGUAAAAUGGCAGCAUAUCAUUCAUCAUCAACUCUUCUUCCUUUAGAAGUUGAAAUCAAGAUUUCUUCAGCUAAUGAUCUUAAAAAUGUUAAUUGGAAACAUGGUGAUCUCAAAUCGUAUGUUGUUGUUUGGGUUGAUCCUAACUCCAAUUAAUCAUUCUUCUUCUUCUUCUUCAACUUCAUCAAUCUAUUGAUUUUUCUUCUCACUACUUUCCUUCCUUCUUUGCAGCUUUAAUCUGUCUAAGCCAUGUUCUGACGAAUUCUUGUCAACCAAAACGACCGUUUGAAGCAUAUAUUGGAUAGUACUGGUGUUGGCGGUGGUGAUGGCGAUGCUGUUGCUGAGAUCAACGGUGAGAUUAGAGCACGGUUUCUUGGAAUCAAAAGAAGAUGUACUUCUCUCAUUCUUCAGUUGACAAAUGUUUAUGAACAAAACAAUGAGUUAUCGGUUGUGAAUCUUUCAAUCGAAGAAAUCUUGAAAUAUAGAUGUUAGUACGUUUACUGUUUUUCAUGAUUCAUGAUGUUGAUGAAAAAUUGAGAUCCAUUGAUGAUGGUAAUUUUACAGAUAAUACAGAACCAGUUGGUUUUACGCCACGAUUUGGCUUCCAUCAUCCAAAUCAAGAAGCAACACCAUAUUACCCACAGUCAUAUACAAACAUUCAAUGUGUUUAAGAAAGCAGGUCUAAACAGGUCGACCUGAACCCGACCUGUUUAAUUAGCAGGUCAGGUUCGGGUUUAAGGAAAAAGAGUUAAACAGGUUAACAGGUCAGGUUCGGGUUUAAGCGAAAAACACCCCAACCUGUUAAGACCCGACCUGAACCCGACACGACCCGACACGAUUGCCACCCCUAGUUUUAGAUGACGUGAACAACAAAAUUGACUAUAGGAUUUUGAACCAACUUUUGUGUUAAGCUAGCAAGUGCUAGACAUGGUGGUAUUGACGACUGGAUGAAGAGUGAUAUUAAGCCUACCUUUGCUGCCUAAAGCAUUAACUCUUGCUUUCUUGAGUUUAAAUUUUUUUCCUUUUAAGAGCACAAGACAUUAUUUUAUUUAUUUAUUUUUUUUUUUUAUAAAGCAAAACAAGACACUUGACCACUGUGAUUCUAAAUUUCUGAUAUGAUCAUCCGACUAUAUUCUUUCCCAUAAUCAUCUUUUCUUUACUUAUGCGGUACUAUUUUGAUUCACAUUUUCCUUUGAGCAACACAAGACACUUGGGUAAACAAUUUUUUUUUAUCGUGAAUAGAUAUUAUAAAUAGGAACAUAAGGUCAUGUAUUUUAAUAAAAUAUUUGCAUUUAGCAUUUUGUGCAUACUUAGCUGGUGUAGCUCAGUUGGUUAGAGUGUGUGGCUUUUAAACCACAAAGUCGAAGGUUCAAGCCCUUCCUCCAGCAUCUGUAUUUACUGUAGCUUUGAUAUUUUGGCAUAAUAUUCAUAUUUAUCUCAAGUAGCUCAUUUUGUUCGAGUUUGAUGGUUUUUUACCUCGAUGUUGAGUUCAAGCCUUUUUUAUACAAUUUACAUUUUAAUUGCCAGUUUUAUUACAAUUUGGUGCUUUCAACGAUGUAAUGAAAUUAGUUUCAAUUCUUUUAUAUUGUCAUCAUUCUAGCCUAGAACUAAUAUGUUACACGGCACACAGCUGUUUUCAUCCUCGAAAUCGUUGCGAUCUUUAGAAACUAACACAAAUAGUUGUGAAACAUGGUCUUUAAUGAAGAUGAAGAUAGCUGGCGGACGAAAUUGAGCAGAAAAGGGGAUUUUUUUGUCCACUCCAUGGGUUUUUUAGAAGAAUUUUUUAUCAAAGUUUGUUUGGUAAUUUCUAUGACUUUUCUAAGGUCCCUAUUCUAACCCUCAUGUACAAUUGGCCAAAACAGUUUUUCUAAACAAAAUUUCAUAGUAUUCGGUAUCUCCUGAUAUAGCAAUUGCAACAUCUCCAAGCUUGAAACUCUCACCUGUUCAGAACUUUGUUUAUGGUGUUUCACGUGGUGGAUAGACUUGAGCUUUGGCGGAAGUGCUAUCAAUAGUUGAAAGUAACAACAUGCGUACUAUCAGCAUGUUCCUGCAAGAUUGUUGUCUAUUGUUCCUAGCACAACAACUGAUCUUAAAUAUGGCUGAAACAUUGGCCCAAACUUCUUCACGAGCUCACUAUGUUCCCUAGGUACUGAAGGUGAUUUUUUCUUUUUUAUCUAAAUUUUGGACAGAACAUGAAAAUAACAUGUUACUUAUUGUUUCCUUGGCUGUCUAAUUUCAGAUAUCAUUUGAAAUUCAAAGACCGGAGGAAUUGGCUAUUAAAGAAUCUAGGGAUUAAAGCAUUUAUAUGUAAAUAAAAAAUAAUCUAACAACCAACAAUUUCAACAAUAAGUUAUGACAGUAGUGAUAUCCAAAUUAUCAAAAAAUAAUUAUAGGUUCAAAAUGUCAAUAAGAAAAUCGAUGUAUCUCAUUGACUGGAAAGAAGCAAAUGAGAUUAUGGAGGUAUUCUUCGAAGAAAAAAAAAAGAUAUGAACAAACAAAGACUAAGAAAGAAACAGUCAUUGGAGAGAAGAUACAAAUAUAAGAUAAGUUAAGCGUCAAAAUAGAGAAUCUCAACAACAAUAAAAUAAUUUAUUUAUGUUGUUUUGAGAAAAUCCUACAUAUUAUUGUGUAAGGUAGUAUUUUCAAUAGAAAAUAUUACAUUGCCGACUGCAAUUUACGAAUAUGUUAUCAUAUUUUUGAUAAAAUUAUUGUCACACAAACUUCUAUUAAAUGGUUUCUUUGAAAAAAAUGGUUGUUCAUUUCGUCAUACCAUAUGUGAUUUUAACUUUUAUUUCUACAUCACAUGAUUAUCUUGAGUGGAAUAGAUAUUUGUGUUGUUCAUAACAUCAAACUGGUGGCUUUUUUGUCUCUGUCAAACUACGUUAAUCACUCGCUUAGGGAUGGACACAGAUAAUAAGAUAGAGCUAAUUUUUGAAGGUAUUACUAUUGAUAACGGAUGGUAUACAGUUGACCUUUAUGGCAUACUUACAAGUUAUUAUGGACAAAUAAUAUAUCCAAAUGCUUUUUUGAAAACAAUCUGAAAGGAGAAAAUAAUGGAAAUAAUAAGAUCAACAGUAGAAGAUAUACCACCAGAAGAAGAAGAUGAUACAUAUAUGGACGAAAUGGACAAAAUGGACCUGAUGAAAAAAAAGAUGAUAUACAAGAAAUUUCAAAUGGAUACAUUGAGCUGUUAGAGAUAUUUACUCUAAAAAAUUUAGUUAAUUAGAUUAAUUAUUAUAUUUUUAAGAAUAAUUACUUCAAAUAAAUAAUGGUUGACCAACAUCACCUGAGUAUCUGACAGUCAGAAACCUACUCAGUUUUGCACAGUUGUACUGAGCAUUUGUUGUGUUAUAGCAGUAGCUUAAUGUUACCACCUAUGAUGCAAAAUUUUUGUUAUUAGAGUAUUUGACUAUAGGGACCAAUUAUGUGAUUAUUUAUAAUUUAGAUCAACAAUUUUAUCCAUGCAUCAAUGUCCCUAAGACUAUAAAGCGUCAGAACAAUUAUAUUUUUUAAAUAAAAAAAAAUUAUAUUUUUUAGAGUUCUAUUUUCAAAUUAUUAAUGGUAGUCGUGGCAGCGCCACGGGUUUUACUAGUAUAUAUAUAGGCAUCAUAAUGUCAAUCACUUGCUCAGCUAAUAUAGGUGAGUGCCACCUUGCAUCCUUUUCUGACACAUCAACUUGAUUGCUAAUCAAGUAUCACUGAUGGUCUACCUAAUCACCUGGAUUAAUAGUGUGGGCUUGGAUUUGGACAUCCACUAUUUACAACAAGCCCAAAUAUAUGUGUAGAAGAACAUAGAUGACAGUAUUCACCAGAGCUUGGACGCUUGGUUGCAGAUCGAGAACAAAGAGGGAAAUCUGAAAUUUUUAUUUUUUAACGAGGGAAAAGUUUUGCGAAAUACAGGCCCUUUUAGAUAGAGCCCAACCCAACAAAGAAGCCUGGUGUGGUGUUUGAUGAUAAGUAGGGUUCUUUUCUUUUAACUAUAAAUUAUUGUUUCUCUCUUAUCGAUUGAUCUUCUACCAUCAAAUUAGGGUUUCUUCUUCAUCUCCAUUGUAACACAACAUCAUGAGGGCUAAGGUAACAACAACAUCUUUAACUCUUUCUAUCUCUUAAUCUAUUACAAUUGUUGUUCUCUUUCUAUCUCUUAAUCUAUUAAAAUUGUUGUUAGUAAUGUGUAGGUUUUGAUAUAUUGUGUGAUUUGUUUGUUUGUUAUUUGAUUUAUACAACAGUGGAAGAAGAAGCGAAUGAGGAGAUUGAAGAGGAAGCGUCGAAAGAUGAGACAGAGAUCCAAGUAGAUUGAUCGAAAUUAAAGUUUUAUGUUUUUGUUUUGUUUUAGUCGGUAGAUAUAUGUAUCGAUAUCGGAGUUUUCUUUUUAGAUCGGAAACGAUUUCACUUUCGGCGGAUGAAUCGGAAUCGGAAUAGCUACUAAAAUAGUAGUUUUAUGUUUAUCGUAAUUUGUAUCGGAUUUUAUGGGUUUUUUCCUAAUAUCGGAAGAAUCGGAUUAGUAGCUUAUGGUUAUGGUUAUUUGGAUGAAUGUUUGAUUUGAUUAAUUAG
rnacentral:lncRNA from 1 species